rnacentral:lncRNA from 12 species
UUUAAACUCUACAGGCUUUGGGUGGAGGCUUAACGAACAUGUUCUGUUUUGCUGUUGUCUUUUGCAGGCUGUAUGAUGAAUGGAAAAAUCUAUCCCCUUGGACAUAUUGAGAGGACAGAAAUGUGUGACACAUGUAACUGUAACAAAUAUGCACUGCAAUGCUGUUACUAAAGAUCUUUCUGGCUUUCUUUGUUGCAUUGGUCAGCAUUGUGACCCUGGGUGAUGCAUCCUGCUUAACUGCACUUCGAAAGCCAUGGUGGCCCCAAAAAGGU